rnacentral:rRNA from 1 species
ACGGCGAGUGAAGCGGCAAAAGCUCAAAUUUGAAAUCUAGUACCUUCGGUGCUCGAGUUGUAAUUUGUAGAGGGAUACUUUGGGGCCGUUCCUUGUCUAUGUUCCUUGGAACAGGACGUCAUAGAGGGUGAGAAUCCCGUGUGGCGAGGAGUGCGGUUCUAUGUAAAGUGCCUUCGAAGAGUCGAGUUGUUUGGGAAUGCAGCUCUAAGUGGGUGGUAAAUUCCAUCUAAAGCUAAAUAUUGGCGAGAGACCGAUAGCGAACAAGUACAGUGAUGGAAAGAUGAAAAGAACUUUGAAAAGAGAGUGAAAAAGUACGUGAAAUUGUUGAAAGGGAAGGGCAUUUGAUCAGACAUGGUGUUUUGCGCCCUCCGCUCCUUGUGGGUGGGGGACUCUCGCAGCUCACUGGGCCAACAUCAGUUUUGGUGGUCGGACAAAUCCGUAGGAAUGUAGCUUACCUCGGUAAGUGUUAUAGCCUGCGGGAAUACGGCCAGCCGGGACUGAGGACUGCGACUUUUGUCAAGGAUGUUGGCAUAAUGGUUAUAUGCCGCCCGU